AUUGAACGCUGGCGGCAGGCCUAACACAUGCAAGUCGAGCGGAUGAAGGGAGCUUGCUCCUGGAUUCAGCGGCGGACGGGUGAGUAAUGCCUAGGAAUCUGCCUGGUAGUGGGGGAUAACGUCCGGAAACGGGCGCUAAUACCGCAUACGUCCUGAGGGAGAAAGUGGGGGAUCUUCGGACCUCACGCUAUCAGAUGAGCCUAGGUCGGAUUAGCUAGUUGGUGGGGUAAAGGCCUACCAAGGCGACGAUCCGUAACUGGUCUGAGAGGAUGAUCAGUCACACUGGAACUGAGACACGGUCCAGACUCCUACGGGAGGCAGCAGUGGGGAAUAUUGGACAAUGGGCGAAAGCCUGAUCCAGCCAUGCCGCGUGUGUGAAGAAGGUCUUCGGAUUGUAAAGCACUUUAAGUUGGGAAGAAGGGCAGUAAGUUAAUACCUUGCUGUUUUGACGUUACCUACAGAAUAAGCACCGGCUAACUUCGUG
rnacentral:rRNA from 1 species